rnacentral:rRNA from 1 species
AACGAACGCUGGCGGCAUGCCUAACACAUGCAAGUCGAACGAUACCUGCGGGCCAAGUGGCGCACGGGUGCGUAACGCGUGGGAACCUGCCCUUAGGUUCGGAAUAACUCCCCGAAAGGGGUGCUAAUACCGGAUAAUGUCUUAGGACCAAAGAUUUAUCGCCUUUGGAUGGGCCCGCGUUGGAUUAGCUAGUUGGUAGGGUAAAAGCCUACCAAGGCGACGAUCCAUAGCUGGUCUGAGAGGAUGAUCAGCCACACUGGGACUGAGACAAGGCCCAGACUCCUACGGGAGGCAGCGGUGGGGUAUAUUGGACAAUGGGCGAAAGCCUGAUCCAGCAAUGCCUCGUGAGUGAUGAAUGCCUUAGGGUUGUAAAGUUUUUUUACCCGGGAUGAUAAUGACAGUACCGGGAGAAUUAGCUCCGGCUAACUCCGUG